rnacentral:rRNA from 1 species
CAAGUCGAACGAGAAUGAGGGGGCAACUCCUCUAGUAAAGUGGCGGACGGGUGCGUAACACGUGGGCAAUCUACCUUCCAGCGGGGGACAACCGUCCGAAAGGAUGGCUAAUACCGCGUACGUCGGCGAGGGCUCUGGUCCUUGUCGGGGAAGACGGCCUCUCCUUGGAAGCUGUCACUGGAAGAUGAACCCGCGGCCCAUCAGCUAGUUGGUGAGGUAAUGGCUCACCAAGGCUAAGACGGGUAGCUGGUCUGAGAGGAUGAUCAGCCACACUGGGACUGCGACACGGCCCAGACUCCUACGGGAGGCAGCAGUGGGGAAUAUUGGGCAAUGGGCGAAAGCCUGACCCAGCCACGCCGCGUGAGUGAUGAAGGCCUUCGGGUCGUAAAGCUCUGUGGGGAGGGACGAACAAAUUGGGUGCUAAUCAACCCGAUCCUGACGGUACCUCCUUAGCAAGCACCGGCUAACCCUGUGCCAGCAGCCGCGGUAAUACAGGGGGUGCAAACGUUGCUCGGAAUUAUUGGGCGUAAAGCGCGCGUAGGCGGCUACUUAAGUCGGAUGUGAAAGCCCCUGGCUUAACUGGGGAAGUGCACCCGAAACUGAGUAGCUAGAGUGCGAAAGAGGGUCGCGGAAUUCCCGGUGUAGAGGUGAAAUUCGUAGAUAUCGGGAGGAACACCGGUGGCGAAGGCGGCGACCUGGGUCGACACUGACGCUGAGGCGCGAAAGCGUGGGGAGCAAACAGGAUUAGAUACCCUGGUAGUCCACGCCGUAAACGAUGGGUGCUAGAUGUUUCUGGUAUUGACCCCGGAGGCGUCGUA